rnacentral:rRNA from 1 species
GACGAACGCUGGCGGCGUGCCUAAUACAUGCAAGUCGAGCGGAACUGGGGGAGCUUGCUCCUUCCAGUUUAGCGGCGGACGGGUGAGUAACACGUGGGCAACCUGCCCUGCAGAUCGGGAUAACUCCGGGAAACCGGUGCUAAUACCGAAUAGUUUGAGGCCUCUCCUGAGGCUUCACGGAAAGACGGUUUCGGCUGUCACUGCAGGAUGGGCCCGCGGCGCAUUAGCUAGUUGGUGGGGUAACGGCCCACCAAGGCCACGAUGCGUAGCCGACCUGAGAGGGUGACCGGCCACACGGGGACUGAGACACGGCCCAGACUCCUACGGGAAGCAGCAGUAGGGAAUCUUCCGCGAUGGACGCAAGUCUGACGGAGCAACGCCGCGUGAGUGACGAAGGUUUUCGGAUCGUAAAACUCUGUUGUGAGGGAAGAACACGUACCAACUAACUAUUGGUACCUUGACGGUACCUCACCAGAAAGCCACGGCUAACUACGUGCCAGCCGCCGCAGUAA